rnacentral:rRNA from 1 species
UCUUUUAGACAUUGGGUAGGGGAGCGUUCUGUAAGCCGUUGAAGGUGAAUCGUAAGGUUUGCUGGAGGUAUCAGAAGUGCGAAUGCUGACAUGAGUAACGACAAAGGGGGUGAAAAACCUCCUCGCCGGAAGACCAAGGGUUCCUGUCCAACGUUAAUCGGGGCAGGGUGAGUCGACCCCUAAGGUGAGGCCGAAAGGCGUAAUCGAUGGGAAACGGGUUAAUAUUCCCGUACUUCUGACUAUUGCGAUGGGGGGACGGAGAAGGCUAGGUGGGCCAGGCGACGGUUGUCCUGGUUCAAGUGCGUAGGCUUGAGAGUUAGGUAAAUCCGGCUCUCUCUAAGGCUGAGACACGACGUCGAGCUACUACGGUAGUGAAGUCAUUGAUGCCAUGCUUCCAGGAAAAGCCUCUAAGCUUCAGAUAGUCAGGAAUCGUACCCCAAACCGACACAGGUGGUCGGGUAGAGAAUACCAAGGCGCUUGAGAGAACUCGGGUGAAGGAACUAGGCAAAAUGGUACCGUAACUUCGGGAGAAGGUACGCUCUUGAUGGUGAAGUCCCUCGCGGAUGGAGCUGACGAGAGUCGCAGAUACCAGGUGGCUGCAACUGUUUAUUAAAAACACAGCACUGUGCAAAAUCGCAAGAUGACGUAUACGGUGUGACGCCUGCCCGGUGCCGGAAGGUUAAUUGAUGGGGUUAGCGCAAGCGAAGCUCUUGAUCGAAGCCCCGGUAAACGGCGGCCGUAACUAUAACGGUCCUAAGGUAGCGAAAUUCCUUGUCGGGUAAGUUCCGACCUGCACGAAUGGCGUAAUGAUGGCCACGCUGUCUCCACCCGAGACUCAGUGAAAUUGAAAUCGCUGUGAAGAUGCAGUGUACCCGCGGCUAGACGGAAAGACCCCGUGAACCUUUACUACAGCUUGGCACUGAACAUUGAACCUACAUGUGUAGGAUAGGUGGGAGGCUAUGAAGACGUGACGCCAGUUGCGUUGGAGCCGUCCUUGAAAUACCACCCUUGUAUGUUUGAUGUUCUAACUUAGACCCAUUAUCUGGGUUGAGGACAGUGCCUGGUGGGUAGUUUGACUGGGGCGGUCUCCUCCCAAAGAGUAACGGAGGAGCACGAAGGUGGGCUAAUCACGGUUGGACAUCGUGAGGUUAGUGCAAUGGCAUAAGCCCGCUUAACUGCGAGAAUGACGGUUCGAGCAGGUGCGAAAGCAGGUCAUAGUGAUCCGGUGGUUCUGUAUGGAAGGGCCAUCGCUCAACGGAUAAAAGGUACUCCGGGGAUAACAGGCUGAUACCGCCCAAGAGUUCAUAUCGACGGCGGUGUUUGGCACCUCGAUGUCGGCUCAUCACAUCCUGGGGCUGAAGUCGGUCCCAAGGGUAUGGCUGUUCGCCAUUUAAAGUGGUACGCGAGCUGGGUUUAGAACGUCGUGAGACAGUUCGGUCCCUAUCUGCCGUGGGCGUUGGAAGAUUGAAGGGGGCUGCUCCUAGUACGAGAGGACCGGAGUGGACGAACCUCUGGUGUUCGGGUUGUGUCGCCAGACGCAUUGCCCGGUAGCUAAGUUCGGAAUUGAUAAGCGCUGAAAGCAUCUAAGCGCGAAGCGAGCCCUGAGAUGAGUCUUCCCUGACAGUUUAACUGUCCUAAAGGGUUGUUCGAGACUAGAACGUUGAUAGGCAGGGUGUGUAAGCGUUGUGAGGCGUUGAGCUAACCUGUACUAAUUGCCCGUGAGGCUUAACCAU